UUGUUUUACAAAAGUGGAGUAUAAACCAAGCACUCUUGCAUUUGCUUUGCAAUAUUUGUUUUAUAUAACCCGGUUCCACGAGCAACUGUCCCGCAUCAUCUCAUCAUCUGUACCACGACCACUAGCAUUCUGAGCCAGAGCCCCCUCCCGUCUCCGCCGCCGGAGCACCCUGCCAGUGCCAUGGCCUCACCUCCGCGCGUCCUCCUCGGGCACAUCCUCCUCCUCGUCCCCCUCCUACCGCUCCUCGCCUGCGCCGGACUCGUCCUCGAGGACGGCUACACCGNNN
rnacentral:lncRNA from 1 species